AUCCACAGACACCAGAGCCAGGAGGAAGACCAAACACUACGCAGCAGUAGACAAGUGCCAGUAGCCGCAGAACCCAGCAAAGCAUCAAAGAUGAGCAUGGAAAAGGUUGCAACCAAACAAUACGAAUCGAAAGUCUGGCCGGACAUCGUGGACAGUGAUGACAGCGAUGUGGAGAAUGAAAUAGAUGUGGACAAAUUACCGCCGCUGGAGGUGGGGCCCAACGAGAAUCGCCUGCAGCACACAUACUGCCUUUGGUUCUCGCGGAAGGGGACGCAGCGGGCAGCGACGGACUAUAGCAAAUCGCUGCACGUGGUCGGACGAUGUGCGAGUGUCCAGCAGUGGUGGUCCCUCUACUCGCAUCUGAUCAGGCCGACGUCUCUGAAGCCGUACCGGGAGCUGUCCCUGUUCAAACAGGGCAUCAAACCGAUGUGGGAGGAUCCGGCGAAUAGUAAAGGCGGCCAAUGGGUGAUAAGAUUGCGUAAAAACAAAAUCGAACGUGCCUGGGAGAAUGUCUGCAUGGCGAUGCUGGGUGAGCAAUUUCUGGUGGGUGACGAGAUAUGCGGCAUAGUCCUGCAGACAAAGUAUCCGUAUCCAAGCAAGCAAAUAGAGCGGCAUGCAAAAUCCUGCAUACUAUAUCCAUGUAUUCUAUUACUGUAGAAACCAAUGCAAACUACAACAAAAAACCAAACUACUGCUAUUGUACACAUAUAUUUAAUUGCCAUUUGUAAUGUGAGUUAUGUGAUGAAUGAUCUAGGUUAACACACGAAAAAAAGAGAAAUGUUUUCGCUUUAAGUAGGAAAUAUAAAUUCAAUGCACCAGAGGAAAGUAAUUAGCCGACAAAUUCACCAGAUAGAAAAAGACCCCCACCAAAAGAAAAGUCACACGAAAAUGUGGAAAAUGGUCAUAAUGCUUGCACGUUUUUUUUUUGUUACGCUUUCAACUUUUGCCAAACGAAACUUAGAGAAUGUAACAGCAACAACAGCACCUGCUACCAACAACAACAGCAACAAACAGCACAAAAAAAAAAUUAAUUUAAACACCAAAUCGCGUUACAGUGGAAAAAAAACAAAGAACCAAUAAAUUUAUUAAUCGUAUUAUGUCAAUCAAUCAAACUGCCAUUCAAAAUGCAAUCAACAAAAGAAAAAGCCCCUGAUAAACGCGACUCCGCCCGUCAAAAAGCCGCACAGAGCCGUCACCGCCAGUGUUUUCAACAUCCCAGCAGCCAUCGACCAACCAGCUUCCAGUUUCCAGUCACGAGUUCUUGAUCCUAGCCUUCCAGUUAAAAAACAAAAAAAAACAAACAGCUGCAUUGCUUCAUUUCCCAGAGUUGAGAUACAAGUUAAAAGGAAAAAAAAAGAAAAUGCCACAGCAAAAAGCAGCAGCCGCCACAAUGCAUACAAAUGAACGGAGGAGCAGGGCCAGAACCAGAACGAGGAGUCACGUAGCGUGGAGGCAGAAUGGAUAGUCAGAGGAGGUUCUAAUUAAGCCAAGACCGAGGCGGGGCCUUGGGUGCUCGGCCAGAAUUAAUGGAGCCAGCUAGCCUAGAGAGAGAAAGAGGCAGAGCGGCUCACCAGCGAGCGCAAGUUGGAGCAAGUAUUUUGGGUGUUCACACAAAUUAAAUUUCAUCAAGUUUAUUUGCUGUAAAUGAGGCAACAUCCAGCAGUGGAGGAGGCGCAACAGACGCUGCCGCAAACCCCCGAUCCCAGAUGUCUCAUAAUUUAAUUUGUGCCCCCAGCCCCAGCCCCACCAAAACCCCUUCCUUAUUUGCCUGAGCUGAGCGCCAGCACGUGUUGCCAUGUUACACUUUAAAUGUUUGCAAGAGAAAGAGAGAGCUCACACUCACACAGACACAUUGAGAGAACACAGAUACUAUUUACGAGCUAGAUUUGUUCCAUGUAAAUAGUCACUAUAAUUAUUAUUAUACACAUAAUUAUGAUUUCUGUUCUGCGGAAAAAGAGGAAACUAAACACUAAACGCCCCUUAACGAAAAUAUCUACAAAUAUUUAUUACAAAAAUUUCAUAUUUGUGCAACAAACAAAAAAAGAAGGGGGUGAGACGAAGCGAAAGAAGCGGAGAAGCUGCUAAAGGAAAAUCUAUUAAUUAGUAAUUAUUAUAAUGUGAUGUUAUAUAUAAAAAAUCAAUCGCUAAUGCAAAUUAAACAAAGAAAUGAAAAAUGCAACAAAAAUAUGGAACGAAGAAGCAAGCGGUCAAGCGGUAUAAAACAAUUGUUAACCAACAUAACAAAACUUUCAUUAAGUAGAUUUUUCGAAUUACAUUUAAAAUAUAUUAAAUUAAUUAACAAAUAGAAGGAAACGAUCGAACGAACGAGACGGAAAGGAACCGAAAGGGAAGGGAACACACAAUCCACAUAAAUUCGCUGUAAACACGAAAAUAAAAUGCGUUUUUCUACUCAACAUGAACAAAACGAAACAAAAACCAACAAAAAAUGGAUAUGUAAAAUGAUUUUUCCAAAAUUUAGAGAUUAACCCCCCUAUAAUCGUAACUAAAUAUAUAGUAAACCAAUUUAUAUAUAUACAUACGUAUAUUCUAUGUAAAUGUCGGAGAUACUUCAGUUAUUUGUGUGUGUGCUACAUCUUCUAUAUACCUCUUUCUAUAUCUAUAUCUAUAUAAAUAUAAGUGGAGGAGAGAACGCGCUUGGCUUACCGUCUAGCAAACAAACCCAAGCCGAGGCCUUGUUCUUCUCCAGCCCCAAGCAUUGUUCAGAUAUUCUAUACACAAAAGGAGAGGGAGGAGAGCUACAUAUUAUCCCUUAUCCCCUACAAUUUAUUGUAUUUAUUCUCUAUAUAUCUCUCUCUCUCCCUCUCUCUCUUCAUCGAUGUGUUCGUUUCCAAUAAAACAAAAAACAAAACAAAAUCUUGUAUAAAAUCGGGCUCUCCUCUCUACGCACUUGAGACACGACAAAAUCUUUGUAAAAUAUUAUACGAAAAUAAUGAAUUGUACAAUUGAUAAGUGCAACAGAGCGAGAGAUGGAGCAAAGGAGGUUUUAGUUUUUCUACUUGAAUCGCAUUUCUUCCACUUAUCAUCCAAGAAUCAGAAUUUGAGUCUUCUUUAGACCUCAAGCUCAAAAAGAAACACUGAUCGAGAAAAUCCCACAACCAAUUGAAACGAAAUUUGGUAGGUUCUAUUCUAUUAUUUAGUUGUCUUGUUAUUUAUACUUACGUAUGAUUAAAUCUAGUUUUGUGUCUAAUUUACGUUUAAGUUUUGGCUCUGCAAUAAAUACAAGAAAGUGAAAAUACAUUCAUACGACGACUAUAUAUUUGUUUCUAUAAUUUAUUUACCUUUUGUUUUAUUAUUUUCGAACGAUGGAAUAAAGAAACUAAAACCAAAACAUUUAUAAAACCAAACAUAAACAUAAAUUGCUAAAAUUAAGCGCAAAGUUCAAUUAAUACAAAUUAGAAUUUUAAUAUCAACAUCAUUUGGAAUAUUUAUAUAUACACAAAAUAUAUACAACUCGAUAUAUGAAUAAUUAGUAAAACAAACAAAAAACAAAACAAAAAUCAAAUCAAUUUCCAUAAAAAAGAUGAGAAUAUUCUUAGUAACGAGUGCAGCAACAGACACUCGUGCAAUUGUACUUUAAAAUUGAAUAAAAUUCAAAAAAACCCUAAGGAAAAAAUAUAAAAAAAACUACAGAGAAGGAAGCGAAAGAAAGCAAGAGAAUAGCAUAAAUGAAACAGAAGGAGUGGAGUGGAUAGCAGGAGCAGCACCUCCUAAAGCCCGAGGGCUACGUGGCACAGGGCUGCCUUCAUAGCCUUUAAGAGUGCCACAGCCACAGACAGACAGACACACACAAGACACACAAGCAGACACACGCAGAUAAAACAACACCACACGCGAGCAGAGUUCGUCUUGGCCCAAAAAAGAGUACAGAGUGAGUUGAUUGUUAGCCAGAUCCUAAUAGCAAAAUAAAAGAAGAAUACAGAUGAAGCGAAAGGAAAAGAGCGAGUACUGAAGCCCAAUCAGUUGAGUGUCAGCGAGAGAUGAUUAAAGAGCGAGAGGAACAUAAAGAACGAGUGCCUAGACAGAGCCUAGAGAGCCGAGGCUAGAACGGGAUAAAGAAAAAGCGUAAAGCAAGUGCAUGAUUGAUUGGCGGCUGUGUCGUGCAUUGGGAGCAGCAAUUGCAACAAUAAUUCCAGGCAUAUCGAAGCAUUUUUACAAACAAACUAAAAACGAAAACA